ensembl:snRNA U6 U6 spliceosomal RNA
GUGCUCACCUCAGUGGCAGCAUAUAUAAUAAAAUUGGAGCCAUCCAGAGAUUAGCAUGGCUCCUGCACAAGGAUGACAUGAAGGUCCACGAAGCAUUUUGAGUUUAG